UGCUUGGGGCCAAUCUUUGUUGGCCCAUCAGUUUUCCUCUUAGGAGCACGUGGUGGAAAAGACAAUGGGAGAUGCUUUCAUUGCUUCUAUUGGGUGUCUGUGAACUGCUUUGUUUCUACAGACUAAGGAGUUAGCGUAAGAACAGAACAGAACAGACUUUUCAUACAGAUUAUUCGUAUUGUUAUCUCAAUGGGGUGUUUUAUUUGUAUGGGAGGAAACCUCCC
rnacentral:lncRNA from 1 species